UGUCCAGGGGGCCGCCUUCGCCACCGGUAUUCCUCCAGAUCUCUACGCAUUUCACCGCUACACCUGGAAUUCUACCCCCCUCUACAAGACUCUAGCUGACCAGUUUCAAAUGCAGUUCCCAAGUUAAGCUCGGGGAUUUCACAUCUGACUUAAUCAACCGCCUGCGUGCGCUUUACGCCCAGUAAUUCCGAUUAACGCUUGCACCCUCCGUAUUACCGCGGCUGCUGGCACGGAGUUAGCCGGUGCUUCUUCUGCGAGUAACGUCAAUCACUAAGGUUAUUAACCUUAAUGCCUUCCUCCUCGCUGAAAGUACUUUACAACCCGAAGGCCUUCUUCAUACACGCGGCAUGGCUGCAUCAGGCUUGCGCCCAUUGUGCAAUAUUCCCCACUGCUGCCUCCCGUAGGAGUCUGGACCGUGUCUCAGUUCCAGUGUGGCUGGUCAUCCUCUCAGACCAGCUAGAGAUCGUCGCCUAGGUGAGCCAUUACCCCACCUACUAGCUAAUCCCAUCUGGGCACAUCUGAUGGCGUGAGGCCCGAAGGUCCCCCACUUUGGUCCGAAGACGUCAUGCGGUAUUAGCUACCGUUUCCAGUAGUUAUCCCCCUCCAUCAGGCAGUUUCCCAGACAUUACUCACCCGUCCGCCGCUCGUCACCCAGAGAGCAAGCUCUCUUGUGCUACCGCUCGACUUGCAUGUGUUAGGCCUGCCGCCA
rnacentral:rRNA from 1 species